CCUACGGGGGGCAGCAGUGAGGAAUAUUGGUCAAUGGCCGGAAGGCUGAACCAGCCAAGCCGCGUGAAGGACGAAGGUGCCAAGCAUUUUAAACUUCUUUUGUCAAGGGACAAAAUCAGGCUCGAGCGCCUGACCGAGGGUACUUGAAGAAAAAGCCUCGGCAAACUCCGUGCCAGCAGCCGCGGUAAUACGCAGGAUGCGAGCGUUAUCCGGUUUUAUGGGGUUUAAAGGGUGCGUAGGUGGACUGUUAAUUCAGCGGUAAAAGCCCGGGGCUAAACCCCGGCGAGCCGUUGAAACUGGCUGUCUUGAGAUGUCGAGAGGUAUGCGGAAUGCGCAGUGUAGCGGUGAAAUGCUUAGAUAUUGCGCAGAACUCCGAUUGCGAAGGCAGCAUACCGGCGGCGAUCUGACGCUGAGGCACGAAAGCGUGGGUAUCGAACAGGAUUAGAUACCCCGGUAGUC
rnacentral:rRNA from 1 species